CAUCAGCUCAUGCCCCGUUCUUCCCCCGGCCCUGUAACACGCCCCAACCGGCGUGGUGCGAUGGCAGCCGCACACACACACACACACACACACACGCACGCACGCACGGAACAGGAAUGCGCCGACUCGGUCAUCUCAACACGGUCUCCGCCUCACUCUCUGCACGCUCACCCCCUCGCUGCGCAGGUCGUCUCACAGCCGCUCCCAUUGGGCAGGUCCCCAUCCGGUACAUAACCUUCGGAGUGGCACUCAGGCGCCCCACACCAGGAAGCAGCGUGAGGGUCGGGGGUGGGGCACGCUCGAGUCACGCUGGCACUCUGCCUAUCAUAUGCAUGGUGCACACGUGCUCGGUGCUGCAGGUGGCUCCGACGCCACGCCGUCCAGGACUUGACCGCCGAUAUCAGCGGCCAUGCAUCGCCCCGUCCUCCCCACGUCUUAGGCUCCUGACCCUGUCACCGCCACAGGUGGUUCGGCACUCGCAAGGGUUAGGUAGGGGGCUGCUGGGCUUCCUCCCUCACACACACGCAGAGGGGGAGGUGGUACUACUGGGCCCUGCGACACCACGCACUGAGUGGUGUGUGCCACCCCCUACCCCCACCGGUCAUGACGAUGAAGGUGGUGGUGAAAGAGAAGAAAAAGGAAAGCGCGUAUGUGUGUCUUUAAAUGAUCGAGGGAGUAUGUGGUAUGAAGUAUGUUUGUGUCG
rnacentral:misc_RNA from 1 species